ACCCGUUUUUGUGGCCUUUUUCCGCUGGACGAAGUGGCGCCCCGGCCUUCGGACGGUUAUUUUUGGGCGCGGCUUUGCCCGCGGCCUAUUUUUAGCACACGAAGGCCCCUCGCAAAGUCUCACGGCAUUCCGAGUCCGGCGGACGAAGUUGGCCAGCCCCCCCCCCCCAAAUCUAUAGCCCACCCGUUUUUGUGGGCUUUUUCCGCUGGACGAACUUGGCGCCCCGGCCUUCGGGUGCUUAUUUUUGGGCGCGGCUUUGCCCGCAGCCUAUUUGUGGCACAAGGAGGCCCCUCACAAAGUUUCACGGCAUUCCGAGUCCGGCGGACGAAGUUGGCCAGUCCCACCCCCCAAGGCUAUACCCCACCCAUUUUUGUGGCCUUUUUCCGCUGGUGGAACUUGGCGCGCCAGCCCUCGGGCGGUUAUUUUUGGGCGCGGCUUUGCCCGCGGCCUAUUUUUGGCACACGGAGGCCCCUCGCAAACUCUCGCGGCAUUCCGAGCCCGGCGGACGAAGUCGGCCAGCCCCAACCCCCAAGGCUAUAGCCCACCCGUUUUUGUGGCCUUUUUCCGCUGGACGAACAUGGCGCCCCGGCCUUCGGGCGGUUCUUUUUGGACGCGGCUUUGGCCGCGGCCUAUUUUUAGCACACGGAGGCCCCUCCCAAAGUAUCGCGGCAUUCCGAGGCCGGCGGACGAAGUCGGCCAGCCCCACCCCCCAAGGCUAUAGCCCAACCGUUUUUGUGGCCUUUUUCCGCUGGACGAACUUGGCGCCCCGGCCUUCGGGCGGUUAUUUUUGGGCGCGGCUUUGUUCGCGGCCUAUUUUUGGCACACGGAGGCGCCUCGCUAAGUCUCGCGCCAUUCCGAGUCCGGUGGUAGAAGUUGGCCAGCCCCGCCCCCCAAGGCUAUAGCCCACCCGUUUUUGUGGGCUUUUUCCGCUGGACGAACUUGGCGCCCUGGCCUUCGUGCGGUUAUUUUUCGGUGCGGCUGUGCCCGCGGCCUAUUUUUAGCACACGGAGGCACCUCGCAAAGUCUCGCGCCAUUCCGACUCCGGCGGACGAAGUUGGCCAGCCCCACCCCCCAAGGCUAUAGCCCACCCGUUUUUGUGGCCUUUUUCCGCUGGACGAACUUGGCGCCUCGGCCUUCGGGCGGUUAUUUUUGGGCGCGGCUGUACCCGCAGCCUAAUUUUGGCACACGGGGGUGCCUCGCAAAGUCUCGUGCCAUUCCGAGUCCGGCGGACGAAGUGGGCCAGCCCCACCCCCCAAGGCUAUAGCCCACCCGUUUUUGUGGGCUUUUUCCGCUGGACGAACUUGGCGUCCCGGCCUUCCGGCGGUUAUUUUUGGGUGCGGCUGUGCCCGCGGCCUAUUUUUGGCACCCGGAGGCUCCUCGCAAAGUCUCGCGCAAUUCCGAGUCCGGCGGAAGAAGUUGGCCAGCCCCACCUGCCAAGGCUAUAGCCCACUCGUUUUUGUGGGCUUUUUCCGCAGGACGAACUUGGCGCCCCGGCCUUCGGGCGGUUAUUUUUGGGCGCGGCUGUGGCCGCGGUUUAUUUUUGGCACACGGAGGCGCCUCGCAAAGUUUCGCGCCAUUCCGAGUCCGGCGGACGAAGUCGGCCAGCCCCACCCCCUAGGCUAUAGCCCACCCGUUUUUGUGGCCUUUUUCCGCUGGACGAACUAGGCGCCCCGGCCUUUGGGCCGUUAUUUUUUGGCGCGUCUGUGCCCACGGCCUAUUUUUGGCACAUGGAGGCGCAUAGCAAUGUCUCGUGCCAUUCCGAGUCCGGCGGACGAAGUCGGCCAGCCCCACCGCCCAAGGCUAUAGCCCACCCGUUUUUGAGGCCUUUUUCUGCUGGACGAACUUGGCGCCCCGGCCUUCGGGGGUUAUUUUUGGGCGCGGCUGUGCCCGCGGCCUAUUUUUGGCACACGGAGUCGCCUCGCAAAGUCUCGCGCCAUUCCGAGUCCGGCGGACGAAGUUGGCAAGCCCCACCCCCCAAGGCUAUAGCCCACUCGUUUUUGUCGGCUUUUUCCGCCGG
rnacentral:lncRNA from 1 species